UUCGGUCAAGUUGAACGGAUGACUUAGUGGCGGACGGGUGAGUAACGCGUGAGGAACCUGCCUUUCAGUGGGGGACAACAGUUGGAAACGACCGCUAAUACCGCAUAAUGUAUUCUGACCGCAUGAUCGGAAUACCAAAGAUUUAUUGCUGAAAGAUGGCCUCGCGUCUGAUUAGAUAGUUGGUGAGGUAACGGCUCACCAAGUCGACGAUCAGUAGCCGGACUGAGAGGUUGAACGGCCACAUUGGGACUGAGACACGGCCCAGACUCC
rnacentral:rRNA from 1 species